GCCAGACUCCUACGGGAGGCAGCAGUGAGGAAUAUUGGUCAAUGGGCGAGAGUCUGAACCAGCCAAGUAGCGUGAAGGAUGACUGCCCUAUGGGUUGUAAACUUCUUUUAUAUGGGAAUAAAACAGGGUAUGUAUACCCUCUUGUAUGUACCAUAUGAAUAAGGAUCGGCUAACUCCGUGCCAGCAGCCGCGGUAAUACGGAGGAUCCGAGCGUUAUCCGGAUUUAUUGGGUUUAAAGGGAGCGUAGGUGGAUUGUUAAGUCAGUUGUGAAAGUUUGCGGCUCAACCGUAAAAUUGCAGUUGAAACUGGCAGUCUUGAGUACAGUAGAGGUGGGCGGAAUUCGUGGUGUAGCGGUGAAAUGCUUAGAUAUCACGCAGAACUCCGAUUGCGAAGGCAGCAUACCGGCGCCCGACUGACGCUGAGGCACGAAAGCGUGGGUAUCGAACAGGAUUAGAUACCCCAGUAG
rnacentral:rRNA from 1 species